rnacentral:misc_RNA from 1 species
UUUUUUUUUUAUUUUUAUUUAUAAUAUGAUUACAUGAUGUUUGAACCUGAACAAAGCUUAUUAUUAAUAUAAUAUAGCCAACAAGCGAUCACGCACAAAAGACAGGCAGGCACGAUGAGAAAUGAAAGCCGAAGGCUUCAGGUUGAUGAAACUUCCACUACAUGAACAGGCCUUUGAGGUGUUCUUUCAAUUUAUCCCGGGGAGGGAUACAUUCCUUGACAGCAGGAACUUCAAGGAAAUUAUCAAACCAAGUGUUUAGCACAGGCAUAGUCUCUGCAUCGAUCACGUUUACACCUGCAAUUUCCUCAACUAUUUGAGUCCAUGGUCGAAUCCAUCCUGAAGCAAUCUCUAGAUAGCCUAUUAUUUCACCUCCAAAGAAUUUCUUCCCCUCCAAAGCGCUUUCCAGAGUCUUUAGAUUCUCUCGGCCCUCUUUCACUACUUUCUCUUUCUCCUUCCCUUCUGUGAAAAAUGUACGUAUGAUCGCACCCAUGCACUGAAAAAGGAGAAUAGCUUGUAUCAAUGGAUUUCUUAAAAGAAAAGAGUCUUAACUUUGUGUGCUAAUUUGGUAGUAAAUGUCAAUUUUCAAGAAAAUGAAUAGCAUAUAUAUGUAAUACUUCUGUCUGAAACUUCCUGAUCCUGCUUAUCUGAAAUUGUCUGUUAGAAACAUGGUGUUUCCUCACUUACCUUGUCUUCAGCAAAUUUUGCCCGGAAGCGUGCCUUAGCCCUUUGGUAGGGAUCAAGUGGGAGGAGUGGAUUUCCCUUCCACCCCUCAUCUAUGUAUUCGAUAAUUACCAGCGACUCCACCACAGGAUUGCUAUUGUGCACAAGCACUGGAACCUUCUCGUGGACAUGGUUGUACACCAACAGCAGCUGACUCUUGUUUGGGAGAUCCUCUUCAAUAUAUUCAUACUCUAUCCCUUUCAGUUUCAAAGCCCAUUUAACUCUAAGCGCAAAAGGACUUCCCCAGAAUCCAAGUUACUUUGUCCUCAGCCAUUCUUAAUUUAGUGAUUAGUCCAGUAGGAUCUUUUUUGCAGUCUAGAUGGUGCAGGAUCGAUUAUUGACUCAAUUGUAUCUCUGUGAUAGCCUUGACAAUAUUUAUCACUUCAGCCACCUGUGUGGACUUCUAAUACACAGUGAGGAGAUUUUUUCGCGUACAUUGUAAAAUUUUUCAAACUGAAAACAAAGUUUAAGUCCUUGAUGACAAGCAAUCGAUCAAUGAGUUAUUACACCAAUAUCUAGGUUCAAGAGGUCAUGAUUCAUGAAAAUGAUAAGAGCCAUCAAUGCCAACUUAACAACAAACAUGGACUAGAAAUACGUGUAAUUGAAAGAAUCACCUGCUAUAUGCCAAACUCAUCGCUAUAAUGGACCCUAUAUGCUAAUACCUAUCGUUGUCCUUGUCCGUGCAGUACGACCUUGACAAGCAGAUGCCUAAAAUUCAGAUAAUAUAAAGUUCCUCGUAAAGCUCACGGUGCCUUGUAAAACUUAUCAGAUAAUAUAUAUAUAUAUAGUCAGAUAGUCGGUACUCGAUCGAAGCAUUUAACAUAGGAGUUAAAGUGUCAGUGCUUGGUUAAAGAGUCAAAACAAAGAGGAAGAGUCUUUGACAUAGAACACCUACACUGAGCGGAGGAGAUCCAGGCUAACCAGACCAAGCAAAGAAGACAUGUGAUUUAGACCAAGCAAAAGAUUGCUUGGUCAAGUAUAGUUGAACGAACAUAAAUAAAUGUAUAAAGACAAGUGGAGUCGCUCGCCUGACAAGCCACGCAUCGACCACACUUAAGAGAAAAUCUCAAGAUAUUAACUGAAUAUCUGAGAUUUAUGCAAAUAACUACAAUCAUUACUUAGCCAUUUGGUCUAUAAAUAUGAGUAACAACCAUUAAUCAAGUACGCUUACUCAGCCAAAUUUGCUAUUGAAACUCUCAUUACCCAAUUCUUCACUUUUACAACAAAUCUCUAACAUGAGCGUUGGAGUGACUAGCCAAUAGGCCAUCAACUUCACUAUUUUCUUGUUUUUUCAAGCAUAUUUAGUACUUAGACUGGUCUUUAAAAACUCACAGCAACAUAUGUAUCAAUGCCGUGAACAAAGCAUCAUCUAUAAUGGACUACGAUGGCAUUACAUGUUAUUGAUAGAUCCUCUUCAAUAUACUUGUAAUGUAUCCCUUUCAUUUUCUAAGCCCAUUUGAAUCAUUAGAAUAGAUCCUCCUCCAUCUAUUUUUAUUUUCUACCUAGUGCAUGUAGAUGUCUAAUAGAUAGGUCAUAUUACACGUCCAAAACCAAAUUAAAAGGUCAGCGCUCAGUCCAACGUGGCAGUUAAAAUGUCAACGCUUAGUCAAAAAAUCAAACAAAGGAAAAAUAGUCAUAACAAGAGCCAGACUGACAAUCACAUGCCUCAGGUUAACUGCAUUAAGCAAGCAAGGUUUGGUCUGCCUAGACUGAGCAAAAGAAGGCUUGGAUAUCAGCAAUACUAGUCUAUGAUAAGGCAUGAUCCUUAGGAGACAAUUUUAGGAUAUCAGUCGACUAUUCGAGAUUUUUGCAAAUAAUUACAACGGCUAUUUAGCUUUUAGUCUAUAAAUAUGAGAAAUAGACAUUA